CUUCAAUGGAAGAAUGGAUGAAGAAAGUGUGGAAUAUAUACACAUUAGAAUACUACUCAGCGGUAAAAAACAAUGACUUCUCGAAUUUUGCAUGCAAAUGGAUGGAAAUAGAACACACUAUCCUGAGUGAGAACCUUCAUCUGGAGAUGGAUGGAGAUAGAGACAGAGACCCACACUGGAGCACCGGACUGAGCUCCCAAUGUCCCAAGGAGGAGCAGAAGGAGGGAAAAUAUGAGCAAAGAAGUCAGGACCACGAGGGGUGCACCCACCCACGGAGACAGUGGGGCUGAUCUAUUGUGAGCUCACCAAGGCCAGCUGGACUACGACUGAAAAACCAUGGGAUAAAACCGGACUCUCUGAAUAUGGCGGACAAUGAGGGCUGCUGAGAAGCCAAGGACAAUGCCACUGGG